AGGAGGCGUUUCCGGUGGCCUCGUGACCGGCACCCCCCCCUUCUCCGAUGACCUGACCUGUGGCGUCAGCCCAGCCAGUCAGAAGCCGUCCCCGGGGCCUUCCCAUCUUUCCCUUCAGCCUGUGGGGCAAAAAGGAGUGAGGGUUCUCAGUCUCCAGGCCUAGCGGACCCCCGAAAGCGACUCAUCACCAGGGAGCCUUAUAGCCUCCUGACUCCAGAUAUUGAACACAGUAUCAAUAUCUUUACACAAUUUCAUAUGGAAUAGGAAGAAACCUGGAUCACUGAGCCUUUUCAGCCACUCAAGAAAGGCCUUGCUGCUUGUGCUCUCUUCCUAAAGCCAUCUGUGGUGUCAGCUAGACAUGGAUGAAGGACACCCUGACUUCAGUCCCAGCAUGACCACACUGCAUAUCAACAGGAAGGCAGAAGAAUACUUAAAACCCACCCAGGCUCCCAAAAAUGUGAUGAGCUUUUUAGUUGGUAGGCAGCUGGGGAGGUACAACAAUGAUUUGGAUCUGUCAAAGUGGCUGUGGAUGCUGACAAGAAACAAACCAGGGUGGAGUUGGCCCUUGCCAAAAAACCAUGUAGCUAACAUGUCUAGCCACAAUUUUCGAAAAUAAAAAAGUGGUUCAGAAUCACAAAUGAUUUCAUUGUUUCAACUAUUAAAAUAAAAUUGUGU